UACGUAGGCCUCAAGCGUUAUCCGGAUUUAUUGGGCGUAAAGAGCAUGUAGGAGGUUUUGCGCGUCUGCGGUUAAAGCCCGCCGCCUAACGGCGGAUCUGCCGCGGAUACGGCAUAACUAGAGGAAGUUAGAGGUGCAUGGAACUCACGGUGUAGGGGUGAAAUCCGUUGAUAUCGUGGGGAACACCAAAGGCGAAGGCAGUGCACUGGGACUCUCCUGACUCCGAGAUGCGAAAGCGUGGGGAGCAAAAAGG
rnacentral:rRNA from 1 species